GUAAAUGCUUUGUGCUAUACAGCCGCUAGUAAAAUCUUUUGAUUUUGCAACAUCGUCAAAUUGCGGGAAACUCCUAAAGACUAUGAUACUAAAUUACAUGGGAAACCGUGUGAUGGCCGAGAGUAAAACUCGGGUAUAGUAAAAAUUCAUAGUAUAUAUGGACAAUCCGCAGCCAAGCCUCUAAAGGAAAUUUAUUCCCAUGAGGAAGGUUCAACGACUAAAUGGCGAUGGGUCAGUGCUUAGCACAGGCUUAAGAUAUAGUCUAACCCCUGAGACACGAGAU
rfam:Paramecium bursaria Chlorella virus 1 (PBCV-1), complete genome.